rnacentral:lncRNA from 1 species
CCCUAAACAAAUAUAUACUAGUUCAGUGAUAAUGAACGCCAUACUAAUUUCCAAAUUGUACACAAGAAACUAAUAUAAAAAUAAUACAAGACUAACAAAGGCCAGAGGCUCCUGACUUGGGACAGGCGCAAAAAUGCGGCGGGGUUAAACAUGUUUGUGAGAUCUCAACCCUCCCCCUAUACCUCUAACCAAUGUAGAAAAAUAAACGCAUAACAAUACGCACAUUAAAAUUCAGUUCAAGAGAAGUCCGAGUCUGAUGUCAGAAGAUGUAACCAAAGAAAAUAAACAAAAUGACAAUAAUACAUAAAUAACAACAGACUACUAGCAGUUAACUGACAUGCCAGCUCCAGACUUCAAUUAAACUGACUGAAAGAUUAUGAUUUCAUCAUAUGAACAUCAGGCACAAUCCUUCCCGUUAGGGGUUUAGUAUCAUACCAUCAUAACAUAUAUGAGAAGCACAUA